AGUGAACGCUGGCGAUAGGCCUAACACAUGCAAGUCGAACGGCAGCACAGUAAGAGCUUGCUCUUACGGGUGGCGAGUGGCGGACGGGUGAGGAAUACAUCGGAAUCUACUUUUUCGUGGGGGAUAACGUAGGGAAACUUACGCUAAUACCGCAUACGACCUACGGGUGAAAGCAGGGGAUCUUCGGACCUUGCGCGAUUGAAUGAGCCGAUGUCGGAUUAGCUAGUUGGCGGGGUAAAGGCCCACCCAGGCGACGAUCCGUAGCUGGUCUGAGAGGAUGAUCAGCCACACUGGAACUGAGACACGGUCCAGACACCUACGGGAGGCAGCAGUGGGGAAUAUUGGACAAUGGGCGCAAGCCUGAUCCAGCCAUACCGCGUGGGUGAAGAAGGCCUUCGGGUUGUAAAGCCCUUUUGUUGGGAAAGAAAAGCAGCAGGUUAAUACCCCGCUGUUCUGACGGUACCCAAAGAAUAAGCACCGGCUAACUUCGU
rnacentral:rRNA from 1 species